UGCCAGCGAUUAGGUCGGGAACUCAAAGGAGACUGCCAGUGAUAAACUGGAGGAAGGUGGGGAUGACGUCAAGUCAUCAUGGCCCUUACGACCAGGGCUACACACGUGCUACAAUGGCGCAUACAAAGAGAAGCGACCUCGCGAGAGCAAGCGGACCUCAUAAAGUGCGUCGUAGUCCGGAUUGGAGUCUGCAACUCGACUCCAUGAAGUCGGAAUCGCUAGUAAUCGUGGAUCAGAAUGCCACGGUGAAUACGUUCCCGGGCCUUGUACACACCGCCCGUCACACCAUGGGAGUGGGUUGCAAAAGAAGUAGGUAGCUUAACCUUCGGGAGGGCGCUUACCACUUUGUGAUUCAUGACUGGGGUGAAGUCGUAACAAGGUAACCGUAGGGGAACCUGC
rnacentral:rRNA from 11 species